rnacentral:rRNA from 1 species
GAGCCUACGGGGGGCAGCAGUGGGGAAUAUUGCACAAUGGGGGAAACCCUGAUGCAGCAACGCCGCGUGAGUGAAGAAGUAUUUCGGUAUGUAAAGCUCUAUCAGCAGGGAAGAAGAUGACGGUACCUGAUUAAGAAGCCCCGGCUAACUACGUGCCAGCAGCCGCGGUAAUACGUAGGGGGCAAGCGUUAUCCGGAAUUACUGGGUGUAAAGGGAGCGUAGGUGGCAUGGUAAGCCAGAAGUGAAAAUCCAGGGCUCAUCUCUGGGGAUUGCUUUUGGAACUAU